UACGAGGGGUCUAGCGUUGUUCGGAAUCAUUGGGCGUAAAGGGCGUGUAGGCGGUUUGUUAAGUCAUGUGUGAAAUCCCUCGGCUCACCGGGGAACGGACGCAUGAAACUGGACAAGCUAGAGUACCAAAGAGGGGGGUGGAAUUCCCGGUGUAGCGGUGGAAAUGCGUAGAUAUCUGGAGGAACACCGGUGGCGAAGGCGGCAUCCUGGACCGGCAUUGACGCUGAGGCGCGAAAGCCAGGGGAGCAAACGGGG
rnacentral:rRNA from 1 species